UGACACUUGGGAAACUGGCA
rnacentral:misc_RNA from 1 species